rnacentral:rRNA from 1 species
UACAGAGGUCUCAAGCGUUGUUCGGAUUCAUUGGGCGUAAAGGGUGCGUAGGUGGCGCCGUAAGUCGGGUGUGAAAUUUCGGAGCUUAACUCCGAAACUGCAUUCGAUACUGCGGUGCUUGAGGACUGGAGAGGAGACUGGAAUUCACGGUGUAGCAGUGAAAUGCGUAGAGAUCGUGAGGAAGACCAGUGGCGAAGGCGGGUCUCUGGACAGUUCCUGACACUGAGGCACGAAGGCCAGGGGAGCAAACGGG